rnacentral:lncRNA from 1 species
GCCGCUGAGCUUGGACCCCGACCAGAAGAUAGAGAUUGAAACGAUGAGGAAAACGAAGUGCCUAAUCCCCGCUGGACGCUAACUGCAGGGAACAUGGAGGAGACAUAUUUCCACCUAUUUCUCUCCAUAAGUAUAAAAGACCAUAAAAGACCAUCUAGGGACUUCAGAACCCAAAUAAUGACACAAUGUUAAUUUGCAGGUUCUCCCUCUGCCUGCCACCCCACCCAGCAAGGAGGAGAGGAAGUGUUGAGAAGGGAAGAGAUGAGUCCUGGCCCUGUCACUUCUUAGGGGUGUGCUUUUGAACAACCUGCUCACCAUGUAUGAACUUCACUCUUCUUGUUUAUAAAAUGAGGACAAUGACACCUGCAAGACUGUGAGGUUUAAAAACAAAAUCUGUGUUGAGAGGUAACUUGCCUCUUUUACUUACCAAUGAUUUCCUCAAUGCCUGGUGACUGGGGCUGGUUCAUACUAGACGAUCAAUAAAUGCUCCUUGAAUGAAUAGGUGGAUGAAAGAAAUGUCUGGCAUCUAUCACAGGUGCUGGCACUGAUAAGUGCUUGAUAAAUAGGCUGGCUGACUGUGAGUGAUGCUGACGGGCAAAGGACAGAGACACCAGGAAGGAGAACAGGACACGAAAGAUAACUGUCUCAGCCCUUGGGGAGUUUCUGACCCAGGAGGAUGGGAACAUCAAUUAUCAAUAGUUACAGAUCAUUAAAUAAUUGCAAGUGUGAGGCGCACUAUAAAGAGGAGGCUCAGAGUCCCCGCAUGCUCACACUCACACCUGGCCACAGACAGGUGACACCCCUGGCUUGCCCAGGCCAGCGGGUCUGCAAUGAGGCCAAGGACCUGGGCUCUUGAGAAGUUUUAAGUUUGAAAACAUUGCUUUUUAAGCUUAAAACAAUGAACCUUAAUAAAAGUAAAC